rnacentral:rRNA from 1 species
CCUACGGGAGGCAGCAGUGAGGAAUAUUGGUCAAUGGACGAGAGUCUGAACCAGCCAAGUAGCGUGAAGGAUGACUGCCCUAUGGGUUGUAAACUUCUUUUAUAUGGGAAUAAAACGUUCCACGUGUGGGAUUUUGUAUGUACCAUAUGAAUAAGGAUCGGCUAACUCCGUGCCAGCAGCCGCGGUAAUACGGAGGAUCCGAGCGUUAUCCGGAUUUAUUGGGUUUAAAGGGAGCGUAGGUGGAUUGUUAAGUCAGUUGUGAAAGUUUGCGGCUCAACCGUAAAAUUGCAGUUGAAACUGGCAGUCUUGAGUACAGUAGAGGCAGGCGGAAUUCGUGGUGUAGCGGUGAAAUGCUUAGAUAUCACGAAGAACUCCGAUUGCGAAGGCAGUUCACUGGACUGCAACUGACACUGAGGCUCGAAAGUGUGGGUAUCAAACAGGAUUAGAUACCCCAGUAGUC